UACAGAGGUGGCAAGCGUUGUUCGGAAUUACUGGGCGUAAAGGGCGCGUAGGCGGCCAUCUAAGUCAGACGUGAAAUCCCCGGCUUAACCUGGGAACUGCGUCUGAUACUGGACGGCUUGAGUAUGGGAGAGGGAUGUAGAAUUCCAGGUGUAGCGGUGAAAUGCGUAGAUAUCUGGAGGAAUACCGGUGGCGAAGGCGGCAUCCUGGACCAUUACUGACGCUGAGGCGCGAAAGCUAGGGGAGCAAACGGGAUUAGAAACC
rnacentral:rRNA from 1 species